rnacentral:lncRNA from 12 species
AACACCAGAGGAAAGCUAGUGCCUGAGUUGUUAGACGCCCUUCUGUGGUUUUUUGUUUUGUUAUUACAUGGUUCGUGGAGCAGAGAAAAGAGAAGUCUGAAAAUAAAAGAAUCUUAGAAGACCUUGUUUCAAGGAAGAAAUGCCAAGCCACAGUGGUGGAAAAAAAAUAAUAAUAAUUAAGGCAAGAACAAUGACUCUACGAAGAAAAAAAGCAAAAUCUGUCAAAAUAGCUCUACAGCAAGUCCAAGAGGAGCCCAGCUCUCUUUCUGGAUGUUGCCUCUGAUGAGAAACAAGGGAGAAAAGCUUUACCAGUACUCACUGGAGAUUUUCAUUUAUUUUAACAGCAGCACUUCCAAGAUCAGUGAUUUGUAAAAUGUGCCCAGAGCUGAGCCCUUAGGAGCACUUCCAAAGAACAACCUAUCUGUUCCCCUUUGCCAACUCUGUAUUUAUUAUUGAAUAUACACAAUACAUUCAUGCCUCUGGCCUCUGGACAGAUUUUUGGGCUUUUUUUGGUUUGUUUCUUUUUCCAUUACAAAGGAUCCCCGUUAUCCUGUCUUAGCAUCGGAAAGCAUGAGGCAGGAUGGCUUAUUUACUUGAUAUCCUCAGGAUCCAUUUGGUGGUAUGAGCCAAUAAAUGCUUGAUGAUUAUAUACUCUACUUAGAAGAGCCAGACAGCUGUCUGAAGAGAAUAUGAAAGAAGAAGCUUUCCUAUUAUUAAAUAUUAAAACCAUAAAAAUUCCAGCAAUAUGGCAACAAAUGAAUUAAAGGAAGGCAACUGAGAAUUAAAACUGCAAGCCUGCCAUUAACCCACCCCGGGAGAGAUUGCAGUAUUCUCAGCACGCUGAACAAGGAGACUCAAUGCAAUUGCUUCAUUCUCAAGGCACAGUGAGUUAAGAGGAGCUCUGACCCAAAGUUAUAAAAAUGACUGUUUUGUUUUAUUUUUUCCUUCUUUAGCAAAGUAUAAGAAAAAGCACAACUUUGUAUGCUUCCAUUCCAUUACUUUUGUAAGCUGAAAUAUAAGAAUUAUUUUGAGUAGAAUAAUACUUUUGGUACCAAUUUGAUAGUGCUCUAAAAGGAUCUUUAGUUUACUAGCAAAUUUAGUCUCACAUGCAUAGUAAACUAUCAAGUUCAG